CUUCCUAAAUACAAUAGUACGUUUCGCAAAUGCAAUAUAAAUAUUUGCCACGUUCCUAUUUUCAAGUUUUGGGACAUAAAGCUCAAAACCCAGGCCCAAUAUCUGUUUCAGGCCCAAUCUCAAAUCAUCUUAUAUCGUACCCAUGUUCAAAGAAAACAACAAUAGCUGAAAGGUUGCUCAAUUCAACAUGGGAACACGAGAGGUAUAUGAAGAAAAGCUGAAGAGAGGAAAUCUGGAUUAUGACCCUACAAUCAAACCUGGUCUUGGUUCUGCUAGAUGCCCUCGUUGUCUUUCUCUCUUGAACUCCAAUUCUGCUGGCUCUGGAAUGGGUGGACUGCUCAGUGCAAUUUAUGGUUUGAAUACAGGCAUGAUUAAUUAAUUAUCUCUUUUGUGCUUAUCUUGUUAUCUUUAUUUUAUUCCUCAACUUAUAUUAAAUCACGGUUGAAAUCUUAAACUAGAUGCUCCUUCUCUUUUAUCUUAUGAAAUCACAGCUGAAGUCUUAACAUUAGUACUUUUCAGGAAUUCCAUUUUGUCCAGAGACAUGUGAAGGGUCCAAAAUGGCUUCCAUUUGUUAUAGGGCUUCCUCCACUUCUCAUGUUCUCUGCAGCUAGUGCGGCAUUUGGAGGAUAUGCACUUCCAAGGUUUACUCAACUUACGGUGACUUCAUAUUACGCUGCUUCAAGUGCAUCACAUUACGGAAUAUCAUUGCUUACCAGACGUAUUGAGGAGGCUCAUACUUCUGGUGUUCAACGUGAAAGACUCAGCUGAUUGACUCGAGGUGCACAGAAUCAAAGCCAAACUUUACUUCAAAUUUUGCAAUGAAUUAUAUAUAGCUGGAGCAAUUGUUAAUUUGAAAGAUGUUCGGAGCUUGGGUGACUUCUUUUUUCCAUCUUUUUGAUCAAAUAUAUAGUUUUUACUUUGUAAUAAUAGGAUAAUUUGUGCCUAGGAAUGUCUGAACUCGGAAGAAAACACUUGUGCUUCAGUUGUUAACUGCUAAAGGAAUAUUUGAUGCUGACUACUUGUUACUUAGCCAAAACGGCAUAGUUAUGGGAUCUUGUAUCUAAGUGCUUUGUAUUAGAACAAAACACCUUGUCAUUGGUUGUAGAUUUUGCAUCCUCAUUGGUGUUUAAGGGAGCUAACACUGACAAAAGAGCCCUUUCUUCCA